rnacentral:rRNA from 1 species
CCCAGACUCCUACGGGAGGCAGCAGUGGGGAAUAUUGGGCAAUGGGCGAAAGCCUGACCCAGCAACGCCGCGUGAAGGAAGAAGGCUUUCGGGUUGUAAACUUCUUUUGACAGGGAAGAGCAGAAGACGGUACCUGUCGAAUAAGCCACGGCUAACUACGUGCCAGCAGCCGCGGUAAUACGUAGGUGGCAAGCGUUGUCCGGAUUUACUGGGUGUAAAGGGCGUGUAGCCGGGCUGACAAGUCAGAUGUGAAAUCCGGGGGCUCAACCCCCGAACUGCAUUUGAAACUGUUGGUCUUGAGUAUCGGAGAGGCAGGCGGAAUUCCUAGUGUAGCGGUGAAAUGCGUAGAUAUUAGGAGGAACACCAGUGGCGAAGGCGGUCUGCUGGACAGUAACUGACGGUGAGGCGCGAAAGCGUGGGGAGCAAACAGGAUUAGAUACCCUCGUAAU